rnacentral:lncRNA from 1 species
UAUUGCAGCCUUAAAAUGCGUGCCGAACCCUCUCUAAAAACGUUAACAAUCCAAAGGGAUGGAGGGAGUAAAAUUUAAUGUUUAUAGGAUAGAAGUAUAGAACUAACAGAAGCGGAAAGUGCCAUUAGGAUGAUGAUGUUAUUUUGAUAAACCAUUUAAGUACCUGGUAGUGUGAAAACCUCUUUCAGUGGGUCCUCUUAUAUUGUUUAAUCUUGAUAUGUAUGUAACACUAUCGUAUUUAAAUUUAAUCUUGAUAUGUAUGUAACACUAUCGUAUUUAAACCCUAAACCCUAAACCGAGAUGGUUUUAAUUUUAAUGUCAACUUGCUUUUCAAAAAAAAAAAAAAUUUACAUGAGUUUUGUUGUUUAUUAUUAUAUUGCAUUGCAGG